rnacentral:tRNA from 1 species
GCCUGGGUGGCUCAGUCGGUUGAGCAUCCGACUUUGGCUCAGGUCAUGAUCUCACGGUUCGUGGGUUCAAGCCCCACGUCGGGCU